rnacentral:rRNA from 1 species
UACAGAGGUCUCAAGCGUUGUUCGGAUUCAUUGGGCGUAAAGGGUGCGUAGGUGGCGGGGUAAGUCUGGUGUGAAAUCCUGGGGCUCAACCCCGGAACUGCACUGGAUACUGCUUUGCUAGAGUACUGGAGAGGGAACUGGAAUUUACGGUGUAGCGGUGAAAUGCGUAGAUAUCGUAAGGAAGACCAGUGGCGAAGGCGGGUCUCUGGACAGUUCCUGACGCUGAGGCACGAAGGCCAGGGGAGCAAACGGG